CCGAGUGCGGGCCCUCGUGGCCCAACCUCCCACCCUUGUCUCUAUACACCCGUUGCUUUGGCGGGCCCACCGGGGCCACCUGGUCGCCGGGGGGACGUUCGUCCCCGGGCCCGCGCCCGCCGAAGCGCUCUGUGAACCCUGAUGAAGAUGGGCUGUCUGAGUACUAAGAAAUUGUCAA
rnacentral:misc_RNA from 1 species